rnacentral:lncRNA from 1 species
AAUAUAGAAAAGAAUGAUUAUGCACCACAUAUGAUUAUUUCAAGGGGAACACCUACUUUUUUAUUUUAUCAAAAGUAAUAUAUAUUAUAAUUUUACAGUGUUUAAACAUGGGUUCUAUAUUUUUAUACACACAUGCAUGCUUUGUGUAUAGUUCCUUACUCGUUUGCUGGCUAAGUCGUUCACUUUUUAUUUAUAUAUUUUUUUUUAAAUAAAAUUUUAGCGGUAAAGGAAUUAAACUGGAUGAGUACAAACCUAAUGACGUUAUUAACAAACUUGAUCAUGUAAAUUCUUUUUUUGCAUUUUCUUUUUAUUUUCCCUUUUUAUUUUAAAUUAUAUUUUUAUGCAUUUCUCAUUUUUUACAAUUUAUAUUUUUUAUUAUAGUUAAUCAGAUCGCCUAAAAACAUUAAAGAACAAAUGCUAGAGAAGAUGGAAUUAAUACAUACAAGGAUGCAUCAGUUUGGCUUACUAACUAUGUGGAUGACAGAAUCGAAAUUUAUAGAAAACAUGCUCAUAAAAAGACACAUAAAGGAUUUACCAGAAAGCAACGGUGAAGAUAUCAUAUAUAAUGAAGUAUUAACAUCAUUAAUAGAAGAAGACAUGCAAAGAAACGAUUUAAUUGAAGAUAGCUUAAAUUACACUAAUGAGAAAAUUAAGGAAGCUGAAAAAAGUUGUUUUAUAGCAGCAAUGGUAAAUAUUUAAAUCUAUAUUAAUUAAUAUAUUUUUGUAUAUAUUCACCUAUACAUAUUUAUAUAUAAGCAAUUGUAAAUAGUUUCCACGUUACACAUAACUAUUGUUGAAUAUAAGCUAGCCAUUUUUUUUUUUUUUUUUUUUUUUUAAUAUAUUACUUUAGAU